GAACUCUGGUUUCUCUUCAGAUCGUAUAAAUCUUUCGCCUUUUACUAAAGAUUUCCAUGGAGAGGAACAUUUAUGAGUAGUUUUUUGGCCCAAUUUUUUGAGCAGUCUCAUUGAUUUCAGUGU
rfam:Chelonia mydas contig209977, whole genome shotgun sequence.